rnacentral:rRNA from 1 species
UGUAUUUUUUAAACGUGCCUACCUCAGAGCAGGCGAGAUCACCCGCUGAAUUUAAGCAUAUAAAUAAGCA